rnacentral:rRNA from 1 species
AAUCAACGCUGGCGGCGUGCCUAACACAUGCAAGUCGAACGCGAAAGCUCCGCAAGGGGCAAGUAGAGUGGCAAACGGGUGAGUAACGCGUGGGUGACCUGCCUUCGAGCGGGGGAUAACGUUCCGAAAGGGACGCUAAUACCGCAUAACAUCCUGCCUUUGAACAGGUGGAGAUCAAAGCUGGGGAUCGCAAGACCCGGCACUUGAAGAGGGGCCCGCGUCUGAUUAGCAGUUGGUGAGGUAACGGCUCACCAAGGCAACGAUCAGUAUCCGGCCUGAGAGGGCGGACGGACACACUGGGACUGAGACACGGCCCAGACUCCUACGGGAGGCAGCAGUGGGGAAUUGUUCGCAAUGGGCGCAAGCCUGACGACGCAACGCCGCGUGGAGGAUGAAGAUUUUCGGAU